AUGGAAUGGAAGAUGGGACAAAACGAUGCGUUUUGAUCGUGUGUUUCUUGUGAGUCGCUGAGUGGAUCUGUAGGAGUGGAAGAAGAUGCAGUGGUACUUGGUCGCUGUGCUCCUCACCGUUCUCACCAGUUCUCAGGGAAUAUUGACAACCCUAUCGCAAAGUAAUGGAGGCUACAAGUAUGAUUACGCCACUGUUCCAUUUCUUGCUGAGGUUUUUAAGCUUGUCGUGUCAAGUUUGUUACUGUGGAAGGAAUGCCAAAAGUCACCUCUGCCAAAGAUGACAACGGAGUUGAAAACGGUGGCUCUGUAUCCCAUUCCUUCCAUUAUAUAUCUGAUCCACAAUAAUGUUCAAUUUGCUACCCUCACAUAUGUUGACACUUCCACCUAUCAGAUAAUGGGCAAUUUGAAGAUUGUUACCACUGGAAUACUAUUCAGGUUGUUCUUAGGGAGGAGGCUUUCUAACUUGCAGUGGAUGGCAAUUGUGCUGUUGGCUGUUGGGACAACCACAAGUCAGGUUAGGGGCUGUGGAGAGGCUUCAUGUAAUUCCCUUUUCUCAGCACCAAUUCAGGGCUACAUGUUAGGAGUUCUAUCUGCUUGUCUCUCGGCAUUAGCUGGAAUUUAUACUGAGUUCUUGAUGAAGAAAAACAACGACAGCUUAUACUGGCAGAAUAUACAGUUGUACACGUUUGGUACAAUUUUCAAUAUGGCAAGACUUCUUAUGGAUGAUUUCAGAGGUGGAUUUGAAAAUGGACCCUGGUGGCAACGUAUUUUCAAUGGAUAUACUAUCACUACCUGGAUGGUGGUAUUAAAUCUAGGGUCUACUGGUCUUUUGGUUUCAUGGUUAAUGAAACAUGCUGAUAAUAUUGUGAAGGUCUACUCCACAUCAAUGGCAAUGCUGCUGACAAUGAUACUAUCAUUAUUUCUCUUCAACUUUAAACCUACAUUGCAGCUUUUCUUGGGCAUUAUUAUUUGUAUGAUGUCUCUACACAUGUAUUUUGCCCCACCAAAUAUGCUCUUAGAUAUGCCAUUAACAGUUAAAUCAGAUGAAGAGAAGCUCGUUGAAGUUUCUAUUGAUCGACGAACACAUUCAUGAUGUUAUAUCGACAUCUGAAUACAAUGCUUUGGUUUUUUGGUAUAUAAUAAGAUAUCACUUUCUAGUUUGAAGGACAGUCACAUGCUCCUUUGUGCUAAUUCUACUUUCAAGUUCUUAUCUAGUAGGUAUUUUUAAAUUGUUCUUUCCCAGGUUUUUCCUAUAAGCCCUAUGAAAGUCAUUUAUUCUGUAGAAGAAACACUGCUUAUAAUCCAGGUUCCAUUGAUUCUGUGACUUUGAGGAGCAUGGGCAUGUUUGAUGGAUGACUUCCAAAUUUCGAUAUAGCUAAUUUGCACAUCUCAUAUAUUGUCUGUGUUUAAAUAUAUGAAAGGAGGACAUUGUAGGAAAAGAUGGUUUAAUGAAAGUGCGCAGAAUGUGAUUUAGACAGAAAUAGAAUAUUACCGUUGGCUUUUGGUGUCUUUUACUUAUCUAGCUGGUGGUGAUAGAGGUGCGACCCAUUGACACCAAGGCACGUGAAGCCGGGCCCUAAUUCUACCUAGUUGCUGUACAAACUAAACGAUUCUUCAACAUUAAUUAAUUUAAAUCGAAAUUUGUUUUGCAGUUUGAUGC